rnacentral:rRNA from 1 species
GAUGAACGCUGGCGGCGUGCCUAAUACAUGCAAGUCGAGCGAAUGGAUUAAGAGCUUGCUCUUAUGAAGUUAGCGGCGGACGGGUGAGUAACACGUGGGUAACCUGCCCAUAAGACUGGGAUAACUCCGGGAAACCGGGGCUAAUACCGGAUAACAUUUUGAACCGCAUGGCUCGAAAUUGAAAGGCGGCUUCGGCUGUCACUUAUGGAUGGACCCGGGUCGCAUUAGCUAGUUGGUGAGGUAACGGCUCACCAAGGCAACGAUGCGUAGCCGACCUGAGAGGGUGAUCGGCCACACUGGGACUGAGACACGGCCCAGACUCCUACGGGAGGCAGCAGUAGGGAAUCUUCCGCAAUGGACGAGAGUCUGACGGAGCAACGCCGCGUGAGUGAUGAAGGCUUUCGGGUCGUAAAACUCUGUUGUUAGGGAAGAACAAGUGCUAGUUGAAUAAGCUGGCACCUUGACGGUACCUAACCAGAAAGCCACGGCUAACUACGUGCCAGCCGCCGCGGUAA